UUUAUUCCUGAAGUCAGCAAGACCACGAACCCACCGGGAGGAACAAAAACUCUGGACAUGUCGCCUUUAAAAGCUGUAACACUCACUGUGAAGGUCUGCGGCUUCACUCCUAAAGUCAGGAAGACCACGAACCCACCAGAAGGAAGAAACUCUGGACACAUCGGAAGGAACAAACUCCAGACACACCAUCUUUAAGAACUGUAACAACUCACCACGAGGGUCUGAGGCUUCAUUCUUGAAGUCAGCAAGACCAAGAACCCACCGGAAGGAACCAAUUCCGGACACAAUGGUUCCUGUGUGUGAUAACCUGUGAAACCAUUUCACGGUGGUUAAUUUUCUCUUAAGUUUCCAGGUAGAUCACCAGCUUCCCUCAACAUUUAUUGAGUGUUUACAUACCUGGGUUCUCGGAGGUGAGGAACUUGAUAAUGAUCACCUUGUUGCCUCACUCCUCUCUUUCUGGACAUUGUGAAUUCUCUUUGAUCCAUUUUCAACCAUAGACAUCUCUGUGAUCUUUGUUCUUGGAGGUUUACCAACUGAUGCUACAUCUAAAGAAAACACGUAAUUAAAAUUCAGUUGGAACCACUUAGAAAUGAGCAAUACUUAGUUGGAAGCAAUUGUCUUCAAAAUUCCUUGGUUAUUCAUUAAGGAGUAACCUCAGAAAACAUCCCAGAAAAGGCUGACAGUUUACAGUUUGGAAGACAUUAAUUAAUUUAAUAAGGUUGAAUUAGGGGCAAAAUUUGCAGAAGGAUACUCUUUUUGUUUGUUUUUUGAGACAGAGUCUCACUUUGUCACCCAGGCUAGUGUGCAGUGGCUCUCUGCAGCCUCUUCCUCCUGGGCUCAAGUGAUCCUCCAGUCUCAGCCCCCAAGUAGCUGUAAACAUAGGCACAUGCCACCGCACCUGGCUCAUUUUUGUAUUUUUUUAUGGAGAUGAAGUUUUGCCAUGUUGCCCAGGCUGGUCUUAAGCUCAAGCCAUCUUCCUGCCUCGGCCUCCCAAAGUGCAGGAAAUAUAUAGGCAUGAGCCACUGUGCCUGGCCCAAUAUUAAUGUUUUUUAAAAAGUAAAGUUAGAAAUAUAAUUUCCAUUUAAACAGGAAAGAAUUCUUACUGUAUUUGCCUAAAAUAAAGCAGUAUUUAUUUUAAAGCUAAGCUUAUAGUGCAAGUAAUAAUUCAUCAUUUUUAUUUCCCAGUUAAAAAAAUACAACUUUAGCAUUCAAAUUUGCAUGCUCUUGUUGCCUUUGUAGUUAUCAGUGUCUUCAGCACACAUGCUGGUGUGUGGCUGCUCAUGACUGCUUAAACUGAUACACAUUUUGAAGUGAAUUCGAGAUUUCCAGAGAAGGAUGUAUGCUUACAAUUUUGUUAAUAAGGUAAAGCAUAUGCUAAUUAGGUCAAUUCAUGAAGGGAGACAUUAGGUCCCUGGGCUUAAUAAAAGAGCUGUAUUGUAUGUAUUUCUUUACAUCUCUCUUUGAUUAUGAGUUCCUGACGAUCAGGGACCAUGUCCUAUUCAUUGUUACAGUCAAAGCAUUAAGUAUGUGUAGACCUGACAGAUAGUGGAAGCGUAAUAAAUAAUUCUUGAACUGACUCUCAAACAGGCCCUACAGGCAAUUAUAGUAUGGAUAAAUAAGAGUAGAAAUGAAGAUUAAAAAUAAACUUAUAACCCUGAUCCUAUAUUUCUUUAAGAUAUUGAUAUGCCCUAGCACUAUUGUAUGUGGGAUUACUAACAUACUAAUAGGUAGAAGUUAAUGCAGGCCUCCAGGGCAGCAGCAUAUUUCAUAAGUAAAUUUUUUUUGGAUCUUUUCUUAGUUGUUGUUAUUUCUAGUAUCUGCAAUUCAAUAAACCGAACUGCUG
rnacentral:lncRNA from 1 species